GACGUAGGGCGCGAGCGUUGUCCGGAUUUAUUGGGCGUAAAGGGCUCGUAGGCGGUUUGUCGCGUCGGGAGUGAAAUCCACUGGCUUAACUGGUGGCUUGCUUUCGAUACGGGCAGACUGGAGGUAUGCAGGGGGAGAACGGAAUUCCUGGUGUAGCGGUGGAAAUGCGCAGAUAUCAGGAGGAACACCGGUGGCGAAGGCGGGUUCUCUGGGGCAGUGACCUGACGCUGAG
rnacentral:rRNA from 1 species